GGACCCAUGGCUCAAGUGGUAGAGCGCUUGCCUAGCAUGUGAGAGGCCCUGGGUUCAAUUCCCAGUACCACUA
rnacentral:tRNA from 1 species